CGUCCUUUACUUGGCAGGGACAGAGCGUGCAGUCCUGCUCCCCAUUAUGUACGGAGGCAGAGAGAAAGAGCUCUGGCCCCCUUGGCAUCAUGUCUUCGGUGCCAGCAGCUUCCUGAUUCUGUCCUCAAGCACCAGGACACCA
ensembl:snoRNA